rnacentral:rRNA from 1 species
AAGGCUUCAGUACGACCCAGUCAGAACUAUAAGUCUCAAAGCCCCGACGAGUAGGGUGGCGUGCCGGUGCGCGUUGAAGGCCAAGACGUGAGUCAGGCUGGAGCCGCCGGUAGUGCAGAUCUUGGUGGUAGUAGCAAGUACUCUGGUGAACCAACCUGGAGCUGUGAGGUCUGGAUCAGGGUUCCAUGUCAACAGUGAUUGAACAUGGGUGAGUCGAUCCUAAGCCAACUGUGAAAGCAGUGACAUCCCUACAAAGGGGCACUGUACUUGCACCCCCGAUGCAAAGCUCUCGAGUAUCUCUCUCAGGCGCACACACUGUGAUCACUAAGGAGUGUGAGUGUGUGCGCUGAUCUCUGGUUACGCUCAUAAGCGUUGAAAUGCUGCUGCUGCUGUUCUCUGUGUCUGGAUUGCUAAAACUCAAGAGAGAGAGAAAGAGAGUGUUGGGUGAGCGCAAGUCGAAUUAGUCCCCUGCGUCUGGUUCUAUGUCUGGCGAAAGGGAAUGGGGACUUUGUUCCUUGACCGGUCCCGGCACCCUCGAUUGGCUUUGCCAAUUAAUGGUCCAUGCAAAUGGAACCAGGCCACAGCCGCCGGCAGUCGCCCGAGGAAGAGUUUUCUUUUCUGCUUAACGCACGAGGUCAUCCCUGGAAACAGUUCGGCUGGCGAAAGGGUGCCCCGUUGCGGCAGAGCGCCACGACUGUCGUGCGCGUCUCGGUGUUCCUGCCGGUCCGUGAAGACGUGGUCGAGGGGAUUGCUCUUGUAUCAACGAAACGCCCGACAAGUUCGGGACGGACCGUACCCUAUAUCCGCAUCUGGUCUCCAAGGUUCGUAGCCUCUGCAGAGUCAGACACAUGUAGGUAAGGGAAGUCGGCAAACUCGAUCCGUAACUUCGGGAAAAGGAUUGGCUCUGAGGGCCGAGCUGGGCCGGGCCUUGCCUGCAAAGCAGUACCUAUAGUGACCGGAGUUUCAGGAGUGCGAGGGGCUCUAGUAGCUGCUUGUGCGUGUGUGCGUUCGCGCGUGCGCGCGUGUGGGCACGAACGAGUCCACCGCUCCGCUCCAACCACGAACGGCUGUGACGGCAAGGGCUCUGGGCGGGAGCGAUCAAUCCGUUGGCCCCAGCUCGUCUGGGUGGCGGCGGUGCUCCGUCUGACCCAUACGGCUCCAGCGGCUAGCGGCUAACUCAGAACUGUCAUGGACCAAGGGAAUCCGACUGUCUAAUAAAACAAAGCGUCGUGACGGCCCC